rnacentral:rRNA from 1 species
UUAUGUUAGUAAUGGGUGACAAAAACCUUUUUUAGCGCAAUAAACACAGUACUGCAAAGGAAAGAUGAAAUAGAAAUGAAAUAAACCACAAAAAUAUAAAAAAGCAAAGACUUUUACUUUUACCUUUUGCAUAAUGGUCUAGCCAGUCAUAAUAACAAAAAGAAUUUUAGUUUAUACCCCGAAAUUAAGUGAGCUACCCCCGAGCAGCUAUAUGAACGAACUCUUCUCUGUGGCAAAAGAGUGAGAAGACUUAGGGGUAGAGGUGAAAAACCUAACGAACUUAAAAAUAGCUGGUUGUUUGAGAAUGAAUUUAAGUUCAACUAAAAGCACUACAACAAAAUAGAAUGAUAAUGCUUUUAUUAUAAUUAAUUAGGGUACAGCCUGAUUAAUAAAGGAGACAGCCUAUAUACAUGAAUAAGAUAUUUAAAGAGCUCUUUAAUGUGGGCCUGAAAGCAGCCACCAUAUAAUAGCGUCAAAGCUUAAUCUACUAAUACUUAUUAUUUUAAUAAUUUAUUUUAAUUCACCUGAAAUAUCAAACAAAUCUAUAUAUAGAUGAAAUACUGCUAGAAUUAGUAAUAAGGACACUCCUCUAAAUGUGUGUGUAAAUCAAAACGAAUGUAUCAUUGAUAAUUAACAAAUCAUAUAUUACAAGAAUUGAUAUAAUGUUAACCCAACACAGGAACAUUAAAGAAAGACUAAAAAUCUGAAAAGGAACUCGGCAACCCAGAGCUUCGCCUGUUUACCAAAAACAUCGCCUCUUGCUCAAGUUAUAUAAGAGGUACUGCCUGCCCAGUGACAUCUGUUCAACGGCCGCGGUAUAAUGACCGUGCAAAGGUAGCGUAAUCACUUGUCCCUUAAAUAGUGACCAGUAUGAAUGGCAAGACGAGAGCUCAACUGUCUCCUUAGAUUAGUCAAUGAAAUUGAUCUUUCCGUGCAGAAGCGGAAAUAUAAUUAUAAGACGAGAAGACCCUGUGGAGCUUCAAACUUAGACUAAUUACAUUAAAUGAUAAAUUAGCAUAUAGCUUUAGGUUGGGGCGACCACGGGGUAUAACAAAACCCCCGAAAUGAAAUUUAAGAAAAACAUUUCAAGACAACAAUAUAAUUGACAUAAUUGACCCAACAAUUGAUCAACGAACCAAGUUACCCCAGGGAUAACAGCGCAAUCCUUUCACAGAGUCCUUAUCGACGAAUGGGUUUACGACCUCGAUGUUGGAUCAGGACCCCCUCAUGGUGUAACAGCUAUUUUAGGUUCGUUUGUUCAACGAUUAAAGUCCUACGUGAUCUGAGUUCAGACCGGAGCAAUCCAGGUCAGUUUCUAUCUAUAAACAACUCUCCCUAGUACGAAAGGACCGGGAGAAUAAGGCCAAUAAAAAAUUUAAGCCUUCUCAUUCACCUCUGAAAUCAAAUAAAGAGGGGGUAAAAAACAAAUAAAUCAAAUGA